UACAGAGGGUGCAAGCGUUGUUCGGAAUUAUUGGGCGUAAAGGGCGCGUAGGCGGUGCGGUAAGUCUGUAGUGAAAUCUCUGGGCUCAACUCAGAGUCUGCUGCAGAAACUGCCGCGCUCGAGUGCGAGAGAGGUCAGUGGAAUUGCAGGUGUAGCGGUGAAAUGCGUAGAUAUCUGCAGGAACACCCGUGGCGAAGGCGGCUGACUGGAUCGCAACUGACACUGAGGAACGAAAGCUAGGGGAGCAAACAGG
rnacentral:rRNA from 1 species